UUGAUUACAAAGAAGGCUCUGUUGGCAGUUUCAUUGUCAUUGUUCGAUUUUACUCCCUGAAAGGAGUGAAUAUUUACUGUCAGACAUCCUGGACAAGCUGGGGCAGGAAGAUGGGCCUCGUAGGACAAGGAGUUUCCCUGCUACUUCUAAGUUCUUGGAGGAAAGAAAGCAAUCUUACAAACCAGCAAACAGACCCACCACAUCAAUACCUAGAAGAGAACCUUAAACGUAGUCUACCCCAGAGAGCAACUGGGCUGUCCAACACAAACAGAAGUUUUGGGUGUGUCUGUGGAGCAUGAUUCAAGGAAUCAGAUUCUUUAGAGAAAUCUUGGAAUUCACCAGGU